UACGUAGGUGGCAAGCGUUGUUCGGAAUUAUUGGGCGUAAAGGGCGCGUAGGCGGUUUGCUAAGUCAGUUGUGAAAGCCCGGGGCUCAACCCCGGAGGGUCGGCUGAUACUGGUGGACUAGAGUACGGAAGAGGUAGCUGGAAUUCCCGGUGUAGCGGUGAAAUGCGUAGAUAUCGGGAGGAAUACCAGUGGCGAAGGCGGCCUUCUGGACUAUAACUGACGCUGAGGCGCGAAAGCUAGGGGAGCAAACGGG
rnacentral:rRNA from 1 species